rnacentral:lncRNA from 10 species
CGGCAAAGGAAGUUGCAGCUGGCUGCACGGUGUUCCACUAUGUAGACGUACCAGGGUUUAUUUACCCGGACUCCUGUUGUUUCACCUUGGUGUUGAACUUGCUUCCUGCUCUGUGCUGCGGUUUCCCACCAUACAGUGAACCUUCAGGAAAGUCUGACGCAUAGAUGUGGGCUUAGGGGCAGAUUGCCAUAAAGCAGAGGGCUUCCGUGAGGAAAGGCUUGGGAGAACCCCCAGGUUUAGCCCUCAGAAGCGCUGAGAAGGGCUUGGCACCUUCCACAGUCUAUGGGUGGGGGCACCAGCCUUCCUACUGGGUGUUACAGGAAAGGGUAAGUCAAGGAGGCCCAAGGUCAAGAAGUCAUCCAGAUUGGAGAUGCCCGGGUUGCUCAAAUAAUGGCAACAUGUGGUGCCUAAUUAGAAAUUCAGACAAAGAUAAUAGUACAGGCAGAAUUCAAGGUCAUAGAAUGCCACAGCCGGAAGGGGCCUCAGAGACCACUGAGUACUCCUCCUUAGAGUCAUAAUAAUACAGAGUUAAAAUUUAUUGAGCCUUGCAUGCUCUGUAGCAUUCCAAGUGCUUUUUAUCUAUUAACUCAUUUAAUCCUCACACUAUUUGAAGAAACCGAGAUGCAAAGAAGAUACAGCCAGGUUCACAAAGCCGGUACGCAAAGCGCUGGGACUGAAACCCCAGGAGCUUGUCUGGGGCCUAUGCUCUUACCCUUCACGCAUUCCACCUCUCUACACUGCUGAGGAGACUGAGCCCAGGGGGAUGUCACUCAGCUCAUUGGUGGCAGAGCCAGGGCUAGAACCCAGAAACCCUUUAGGUCCUCCCUCCAACACACUGCCUCAGUUUGCCUGAUGGGCUCGGAGGGGCCACAGCGAGGCAGGGGCAGGAGUCAGCAGGGGUGUGGCUCUGGGGAUGAAGAGAAUGGCUGUGAUUCCGCCAGAAGAGUGGUGGGGCAGCCUGGUGCCUGCAGACAGGCAGACCCUCUGAUAUUACAGGUGGGUCUGGGAUGUGUCUUGCAGCCCCCUGAUGUUGACUCUCUUAAUACUCUCUCCAACUGUGGUUUGUCCCCUCGGUGGUGUUUCUGUGGCCUGAACUGGCUCCUUGCCCUGUCUCCAGGCCCAUUAGUUCCUCUCUCCCCACCUGUCAUCAGCAGCAUCACUUUACCAGAUAAGCAGGGCCCACCCACAGUGUUUUUGGGGCAGCAGGGAGAGCAUUUACUCAAGAAACACAAAGAAACCACAUGCAGGGUAGAACUGUGUACACAAUGAGGACUCCAUAAAUGCUCUCAGCAUCUCCUGCUGAGGUGUAAUGAUAGAGACUUGGUAGUGAUGGCUUCAGGACUUUCUGACCUCAUCCAAGGAUGGGGCACUUUCAACUACUCUUGCUGCAGGUCUGAUCACCCCGUGGGUCUGUCUCAGACCCAGAGGCCACACCCACUGCACAGGUAAAG